AGCAGCCGCGGUAAUUCCAGCUCCAAUAGCGUAUAUUAAAGUUGUUGCAGUUAAAAAGCUCGUAGUUGAAUUUCGGGAUCAAUAUGUCGGUCGUGCCAUCGGUACGUACUGGUAUCAUUGGUCUCUCCUUUCUGACGAACCAUGAUGUCAUUAAUUUGGUGUUAUGGGGAGUUAGGACUGUUACUUUGAAAAAAUUAGAGUGUUUAAAGCAGGCAUUAGCUUGAAUACAUUAGCAUGGAAUAAUGAAAUAGGACGUUCGAACCUAUUUUGUUGGUUUCUAGGAUCAACGUAAUGAUUAAUAGGGAUAGUUGGGGGCAUUAGUAUUCAAUUGUCAGAGGUGAAAUUCUUGGAUUUAUUGAAGACUAACUACUGCGAAAGCAUUUUGCCAAGGAUGUUUUCAUUAAUCAAGAACGAAAGUUAGGGGAUCGAAGACGAUCAGAUACCGUCGUAGUCUUAAACCAUAAACUAUAGCCGACUAGGGAUCGGAUGAUGUUAAUUUUUAAUGA
rnacentral:rRNA from 1 species